rnacentral:tRNA from 1 species
CACUAUGAAGCUAAAUAUAGCAUUAACCUUUUAAGUUGAAGAUUGAGAAACUAACUCUCCAUAGUGA